CCAGCACUGAAAGGAGAAAGCGAGAGGCCUCAGCUUCAGCUAGCUUUACAUAGAUUAAAAACAGGCACCUACAUGGAGAUCCUUCGUUGUCGUAGCCUAUCAGGCCAUACGGCAAAUACUCCUUCAGUGCCUUGGGAGGAUCCCACUUGUCGAUGUUGUCCACAUUCCACAUGGCCCGCGUCUUCAGGCUCUGCACAGAUCUCUCAGCAUUUUCUCUGCUGCCUCCAGGUUCCAUUUGCGAGCUGUUCAGGAGAGAGUUUUGGAUGGUAAGCAAGCAUCUCUAACAAGGAUUCUCUUGGGCAAACUCACCUCUCAGCCAGCGCAGUAGGAAGUAAUCAUCGUGGGUGUCGACGAGAGCAUCGUCCAUCUGCUUGCGGAACUGUAAUAGGUGGAAACGUUAAGAGGAUCAGGAAUCAGGUCUCAUACAGGAUGAAUAAAAUACAAAAUAUGGAGUCCUAUCUGUUAUUCUGCUUGAAUUUAAUAAAAACUUUAUCAACAAUUUA